rnacentral:misc_RNA from 1 species
GAAAUGCGAUAAGUAGUGUGAAUUGCAGAAUUCAGUGAAUCAUCGAAUCUUUGAACGCACAUUGCGCCCUUUGGUAUUCCUUAGGGCAUGCCUGUUCGAGCGUCAUCUAAACCUUCAAGCCCUGCUUGGUGUUGGGUGCCUGUCCCGCCUCCGCGCGCGGACUCACCUCAAAUCCAUUGGCGGCCCCCGCGUCGGCCACGAGCGCAGCAGAAACGCGAACUCGUGAGCCCGUCCGGGCGGCUCCCAGAAGCUACACCCACCCAGUUUGACCUCGGAUCAGGUAGGGAUACCCGCUGAACAUAAGC